GCACUGCUGAGGAGUCCCACAAUAGGACGAAAAGGCCAUCCAGUGC
rfam:Schistosoma mattheei strain Denwood, Zambia genome assembly, scaffold: SMTD_scaffold0011403